AGCGCUCAGUGGUGAAAGGACCCACUCCUCAGAGUCCCGGAAGUGGCCGCGGAUCUUCCAGUAAAUGAAGUUAUCCUCGAGGAGCUCAGGAGAGGCGAGCCUCUCAGGGCUGUGGCUGUGAACAGAUUUGUUUACGGCUUAGACGCCGACCUCUCUCAUUAGUUAUAAGUUUUCAAAUUGGCCCUUUCUUGUAUAAAUCGCCUGAAAAAAAUAUGAUUUUUAACAAGCACAGCCAUAGCCUGAUGUUAAUUAAAAAACAAAACAAAACAAAAACAAAAACACGGAAAGAUGAUGUUUAAGUCUAAAAGGAAGGGCACGGAAAAUACACUUUCAGAUAUUCACAAGUUUUCACAAAAUGUGCCCCUUUAUACAGCCCAUCAUGGAUGCUAUUCGUGGCCAGUCUUGCUCAUCCUGUUGCUUCACAGGUAAACGUUGGCACUGGGCGGCUAGAGAUGGUCUCCAGCACUCAGUACUCCCACUGCUAGUUUAGACUACAUCAAAUGCGUGAAUGCUUAUGAUUGGUUCCUAUAAGAAUUGUCUACGUUUCCUAGCUGUUGUUAUAGGGUCCUUGUUCCAAUCUGAACCCUUGGAACCAAACAGCAUCUCAUAAAAUAAUCUUUCACAGUCCAGUUGAUGAUGCUAAAGUUUAAAAGACACCCACCACAGCCAUCACCACUCAGAUCUCCUCCUCACUCCUAACCACUGCCAUCUCUGUAGACCAACUGAAACCAUCUUGUUCUUUUACACAGAAGUGCAAACAAUCUCAUGGUUUUAAGUAGUCAAUGUCAAUCCAAGUUCUCUGAUGUAUCUAUAUUUCACAUAAUAUUUUAAAGUCAUUCUGACAUUGUGCCACAUCAAAAUAUGUAUUUGAAGUAGAUCACUGAAACAUAUUUAUGCAUCAAUAAAAUGUCCUAAAGCUGUUUCCUCUUCA
rnacentral:lncRNA from 1 species